AUUGAACGCUGGCGGCAUGCUUUACACAUGCAAGUCGAACGGCAGCGCGGGGCAACCUGGCGGCGAGUGGCGAACGGGUGAGUAAUAUAUCGGAACGUACCCAGAAGUGGGGGAUAACGUAGCGAAAGUUACGCUAAUACCGCAUACGAUCUACGGAUGAAAGUAGGGGACCGCAAGGCCUUAUGCUUUUGGAGCGGCCGAUAUCUGAUUAGCUAGUUGUUGAGGUAAAGGCUCACCAAGGCGACGAUCAGUAGCUGGUCUGAGAGGACGACCAGCCACACUGGAACUGAGACACGGUCCAGACUCCUACGGGAGGCAGCAGUGGGGAAUUUUGGACAAUGGGCGCAAGCCUGAUCCAGCAAUGCCGCGUGAGUGAAGAAGGCCUUCGGGUUGUAAAGCUCUUUUGUCAGGGAAGAAACGGUAGAGGCUAAUAUCCUUUGCUAAUGACGGUACCUGAAGAAUAAGCACCGGCUAACUACGUG
rnacentral:rRNA from 1 species